AUUGAACGCUGGCGGAAUGCUUUACACAUGCAAGUCGAACGGUAGAGGGGGCAACCCCUCGAGAGUGGCGAACGGGUGAGUAAUAUAUCGGAACGUGCCCAGUCGUGGGGGAUAACGUAGCGAAAGUUCCGCUAAUACUGCAUACGAUCUAAGGAUGAAAGCGGGGGAUCGCAAGACCUCGCGUGAUUGGAGCGGCCGAUAUCAGAUUAGGUAGUUGGUGGGGUAAAGGCUCACCAAGCCAACGAUCUGUAGCUGGUCUGAGAGGACGACCAGCCACACUGGAACUGAGACACGGUCCAGACUCCUACGGGAGGCAGCAGUGGGGAAUUUUGGACAAUGGACGCAAGUCUGAUCCAGCCAUUCCGCGUGCAGGAUGAAGGCCCUCGGGUUGUAAACUGCUUUUGUACGGAACGAAAAGGUCUCUCUUAAUACGGGGGGCUCAUGACGGUACCGUAAGAAUAAGCACCGGCUAACUACGUGCCAGCCGCCGCGGUAA
rnacentral:rRNA from 1 species